GAUGAACGCUAGCUACAGGCUUAACACAUGCCAGUCGAGGGGCAGCAUGGUCUUAGCUUGCUAAGGCCGAUGGCGACCGGCGCACGGGUGAGUAACACGUAUCCAACCUGCCGUCUACUCUUGGACAGCCUUCUGAAAGGAAGAUUAAUACAAGAUGGCAUCAUGAGUCCGCAUGUUCACAUGAUUAAAGGUAUUCCGGUAGACGAUGGGGAUGCGUUCCAUUAGAUAGUAGGCGGGGUAACGGCCCACCUAGUCUUCGAUGGAUAGGGGUUCUGAGAGGAAGGUCCCCCACAUUGGAACUGAGACACGGUCCAAACUCCUACGGGAGGCAGCAGUGAGGAAUAUUGGUCAAUGGGCGCAGGCCUGAACCAGCCAAGUAGCGUGAAGGAUGACUGCCCUAUGGGUUGUAAACUUCUUUUAUAAAGGAAUAAAGUCGGGUAUGUAUACCCGUUUGCAUGUACUUUAUGAAUAAGGAUCGGCUAACUCCGUG
rnacentral:rRNA from 1 species